UACGGAGGGUGCAAGCGUUAUCCGGAUUCACUGGGUUUAAAGGGUGCGUAGGUGGGGUGGUAAGUCAGUGGUGAAAUCUCCGAGCUUAACUUGGAAACUGCCAUUGAUACUAUCAUUCUUGAAUAUUGUGGAGGUCAGCGGAAUAUGUCAUGUAGCGGUGAAAUGCUUAGAUAUGACAUAGAACACCAAUUGCGAAGGCAGCUGGCUACACAUAUAUUGACUCUGAGGCACGAAAGCGUGGGGAUCAAACAGG
rnacentral:rRNA from 1 species